ACUAAUAGCUUUGGGACCACUGGAAUUAAAGACAAAGAAUCACUGUUGCCAACUUGGAAGUCAUGGCUGAUGGUGGAAGUCCAGCUUUGUUUGGCAUGAUGGCUGAUGGAUACAAUUACAUAGUUGCCGUGCUUGACUGGUGGGGCUGGGCUGGGCUGUUGCACUACCACCAUAGAAAGACUUAGCUCUGAAUAAUAGUACAUUUAUUCCUUCUCCAUUAUCAAACUACUAUCAUUUUUACUCUCCUUUUCAUAUCUCUCUAAAUCCUUCCUAUAAGAAAAUAAAAUGAAUUGGCUAAUGUUUCUUUAUCAAUUUCUUCUGGUAUUUCUCUUGUUUUCUCAAAUAGUAGUUACUACUACUUGCUCUUCAUUAUCAUCAUGGUCUUCUUCUACUUCUGCAUGCCAUACCUGCCUUAAGGACCAGCGAUUGUCAUUGCUCCAAUUUAAGAAAACUUUUACCAUAACUGGCAGUGCCUCUUUAGAUUGUGAAUCUGAUUCUCAUCCUAAAAUGGUGUUUUGGAAUGAGAGUAUUGAUUGUUGUUCGUGGGAAGGGGUCACGUGCAACUGGUUGCAUGGUCGUGUGAUUGGACUUGACCUCACCUUUACCUCAAGCUUUACUAAAUCUAUCUUCGUUGACAUCUCUCAAUCUUGUUUAUUGUCAUCUGCAUGGGAAAUUCUCAGAAAAUAUUUUUCACCUUCCAAACCUACGAAAGCUCAACUUACGGGCUAAUAUCAAACUCACAGGUAAACUUCCAAACUUCAAUGUGACUAGUUCCCUUCAGUUUCUUGAUCUCUCUUGGACAAGUUUUUCUAGUCAACUGCCUGAUUGAAGCAGCAAUCUUAAAGCCUUGAAUAGUUUGUACCUCUCUCAAUGCAAUUUUUCAAGGUCCAUUCCAGCUUCUCUUUGUAACCUUACACAAAUCACUGAUUUAGACUUCUCAUCUAACAGUUUCAGCGGUCAAAUUCCCUCAUCAAUUUCAAACCUUGCAAAGCUUACUAACUUGAUUCUUUCACUAAACAAUUUGAACGGACAAAUACCGGAUUCCCUUGGCAAUAUGAGCCAACUUACUGACUUGGACAUUUCUAUAAAUUAGCUAACUGGUCCCAUUCCUCCAUAUGCUGUUGGGCUUUUAAUGCUAACUUCUCUCCAAUUGAGUCGUAACUCACUCAUUGGGACAAUACCAUCUUCGUUGUUUGCUCUACCUUCACUGAUUAAUAUAGAUUUGAGUGACAAUAAGCUACAGGGACCAAUUCCAAGAUCAGUUUAUGAACUCCCGAACCUAACAGACUUGGUGCUUUCAUCAAAUAACUUAAGUGGUGUAGUGGAUCUAGAUAAGCUUCUAAAGCUUAAAAAUCUGAUCUCUCUUGAUCUCUCAUAUAAUGGUCUCUCAUUGAGCAUCAACAACAGUGUCAACUCUACCUUGACUAACUUUAACACUAUAGGAUUAGCUUCUUGCAACUUGAGCGAAUUCCCAAACUUUUUGAGAGAGCAAGCUGGAUUGGCUUCUCUAGACCUUUCAAACAACAAAAUUCAUGGUGAAGUUCCCAAAUGGAUAUUUGAUGUGGGGGAAAAUACAUUGGGUAUUUUAGAUCUUUCUCAUAAUUUCCUUACAAGUUUAGAGUCUUCCAUGGCAGCCGCUAGAAUAUAUUGACCUGCACUCCAACUUACUCAGAGGUCCACUCCCUGUUCCACCUAUCACCACAAUUCUUUUCUCUCUCUCAAACAAUAAAUUGACUGGAGAAAUCCCUCCAUUGAUUUGUGGUCUAAGGUCACUUGGUAUUCUUGAUUUGUCUAACAACAGUUUGAGUGGCUUGAUUCCACAAUGUUCGGGAAACUUGAGCAAUCUCUUCGUGCAGAAUUUAGGGAUCAAACUUUUACGGCACCUUUAUUGCAGCAUUUACAAAAGGCAAUUGGCUAAGGAAUCUUAACUUGAAUGGCAACCAAAUUGAAGGACAAGUUCCGCUAUCUUUGCUCAAUUUGGAAGUUCUAAACCUUGGAAAAAACAAGACAAAUGAUACAUUUCCACACUGGUUGAAAACUCUUCUAGAAUUGCAGGUUCUUGUCUUGAGUUUUAAUAGGUUUCAUUGUCGCAUAGGCACCUCCAAGACCAAAGGCAAACAUCGUUUUCCUAAGUUGAGAAUUAUUGACAUAUCUUGCAAUGAGUUCACUAGCCUUUUGCCAGCAAAUUAUAUCAAACAAUUUGGAGCUAUGAUGAAUGUUGAUAAACAUGAAAUACAUGGGCAACGGCUAUUAUGAAGAUUCUGUGGUGGUGGUGGUGAUUAAGGGAUCUGAGAUUGAAUUAUCAAGAAUCUUAACAGUCUUGUCAAUCAUUGAUUUUUCAAUAAAUAAAUUCUAAGGAGAGAUUCUGAAAUCCAUUGGGAGGCUUAAUUCACUUUGGGGUCUAAACUUUUCCCAUAACAACCUUGAAGGCCACAUUCCAACUUCACUUGGAAACUUAACAAACGUUGAAUCAUUGGACCUUUCUUCAAACGAGCUUGUUGGGGUGAUUUCUCAACAAUUGAUGAGUUUGAUGUUUCUUGAGAUACUAAACCUUUAGGACAACCAACUUGCAAGAUUAAUUCCUCAAGGGAACCGGUUUAAUACAUUUGGAAGUGAUUCAUACAGUGGGAACUUGGCCUUACGUGGAUUCCCUUUAUCAAAGAAAUGUAAGGAACUACAGCCACUGCCACCUCCACCAACAUUCCAACAAGACGAGAAUUUAGACAAGUCAAGUGGAUUUAGCUGGCAAGUUGUAGUGUUGUGGUAUGGAUGCGGAUUUGUAUUUGGAAUGGUUAUGGGAUAUAUUAUGUUUGUAACUCGAAGACCAGAAUGGCUUAUGAAAAUUGUUGGCGGAAAACAUCAUACGAAUGUGAAAAGGUCUAAGAAGGGUGCCCACUGAUGCAGUGAAAGAAGAAAUCAACAAAGACAAAUGGCAUUAUCAGGUAAUUGGAAUUUAUCUUUGCAACAUUACUUUGUUGGAUUAUUUUUUAUGGUUUCUAUCUAUAGGCUAUAUUUUUGUUACUAAUGCUUUUUAUUUCAAAACUAGAUAUUUUUCUUAGUUUCACAAUAAAGAAAUGGAAUCCAGUUGAAGGGGUGCCUCACCAAUUUGCUUCAUUUGAGUGUAUGUGCAUUCAGAUAGCAGCUACACAAGAUCACUUCAAAAGCUUUACCAUUGUUGCUGUAUUAAAUUCUAAAGUAAUGGAACAAUAUUGUUAAUGAGUUGGACACUUAUUGUUGGAAGCCGAAACUGGGGAUGUUGCUCCCACAUUCUUCUAGGAGUUGAUUCAAGAUUCAAGUGUUUGUCACUUUGCAAUUCAAGACUCACAUCGCAAGCCUAAAACAAUCCUGCUGGCAGUCACGUAGGUGGUCCUUCAAAUGACGUGUUGAGGCGAUGAAAGAUACAAUGUUUUGGUUUAGUUAGAUGUUAUUUUAGUUGGAUGUUGUUUUGGUGAUUUUAGCCUUAUGUUCAAAUUAAAAGCCUUGAUAUGAACAAAAUUGAUUGAAUGUUAAUUGAUUUCAGCCUUAUUAUGUUAAUUGGCAAAAUGUUUUGGUUUAA